rnacentral:rRNA from 1 species
AACCCCUCGCUGUCUGUUGCCACCACGAGAGGUGGGGACGUCAGGCGGAACUGCCGGUGACAAACCGGAGGAAGGUGGGGACGACGUCAAGUCAUCAUGGCCCUUAUGUCCUGGGCUACACACGUGCUACAAUGGCCGGUACAGAGCGCAGCGAGGCCGCGAGGCGGAGCGAAUCGCUUAAAGCCGGUCCCAGUACGGAUUGGAGUCUGCAACCCGACUCCAUGAAGUUGGAAUCGCUAGUAAUCGCGCAUCAGCAUGGCGCGGUGAAUACGUUCCCGGGCCUU